GGUAAGGAGGUUUCGCCUCCGUGAUUGCAAAUUCGCACCCUACCAGUUCGCCUGAAUUACGAGUUCACUCCUGUACGUUAAGAAAUGGUUAACGUGCGCUGUGCAGACGUCGAGUUAUAGAUGCCCGCGGGAGGUUACUAAGGCUAGAGUCGCAACAACAGUGAGACUUUCAAACAUCUUUUGUUUCGUGUAGAUAAAAAAAAACCAAAACAAACGGACGUCAGCAUGCUACCCACGGGCAAAUGGAUCAAACAUGUUAGUGAAUCAGAGUGCGCAGUUUUUUUAAGCUAUGUUAUAAAACUGGUAAAAUCCGGGCGUACAUAUUAUAUUUGAUGACCCUCGUGCCCUUGGUCGUUUUGUUGAUUACCUGUAAUCCUUUUAAUCUUUGCUUUUCGUUCUUUAUUUCUUUAAAUCCCGUUUGACUAAUGUGGGAAUGGCCACUGCACCAAUAAGAUAACACAUGGUAGCCGGCAAGAAUCCUUGAUUCAAACUCAAGAAAGUAUUUCUCGGUAUCAGGAGCUUUAUACAGCGAUUACGGACGAAGGAGAAGAAGUUGCUGCCGGGAUGCAGAGGUUACAAGUACAGGCAUCAGGAAACUAAGGGUAUCAGUGGCAAAAAGGGGAAGCCUGACAGCACCGUCACCCUCCCCGAGCUCGUGAAAAGCAUCGGCAGUUUCUUACGUAUGGAUUAAAUUUUACUUGAAAGAU